UUUCCGUGGGUUCACUGCAUCACGCACAAAUCUUUCGCCUUUUACUGAAGACUUCCGUGCAGAGGACCAUUAAGAUCGGAAUUUAACCAAUUUAUUUUGCCUCGUCUUCGAAUGAGGCA
rnacentral:snRNA from 1 species